GAUGAACGCUGGCGGCGUGCCUAAUACAUGCAAGUCGAGCGAACAGACGAGGAGCUUGCUCCUCUGACGUUAGCGGCGGACGGGUGAGUAACACGUGGAUAACCUACCUAUAAGACUGGGAUAACUUUGGGAAACCGGAGCUAAUACCGGAUAAUAUAUUGAACCGCAUGGUUCAAUAGUGAAAGACGGUUUUGCUUUCACUUAUAGAUGGAUCCGCGCCGCAUUAGCUAGUUGGUAAGGUAACGGCUUACCAAGGCAACGAUGCGUAGCCGACCUGAGAGGGUGAUCGGCCACACUGGAACUGAGACACGGUCCAGACUCCUACGGGAGGCAGCAGUAGGGAAUCUUCCGCAAUGGGCGAAAGCUUGACGGAGCAACGCCGCGUGAGUGAUGAAGGCCUUCGGAUCGUAAAACUCUGUUAUUAGGGAAGAACAAAUGUGUAAGUAACUAUGCACGUCUUGACGGUACCUAAUCAGAAAGCCACGGCUAACUACGUG
rnacentral:rRNA from 1 species